AAUUCCGUCGGAAUCUGGGAGGACCAUCUCCUAAGGCUAAAUACUCUCUAGUGACCGAUAGUGAACCAGUACCGUGAGGGAAAGGUGAAAAGCACCCCGGAAGGGGAGUGAAAUAGAACCUGAAACCGUGUGCUUACAAGUAGUCAGAGCCCGUUAAUGGGUGAUGGCGUGCCUUUUGUAGAAUGAACCGGCGAGUUACGAUUUGAUGCAAGGUUAAGCAGUAAAUGUGGAGCCGUAGCGAAAGCGAGUCUGAAUAGGGCGUUUAGUAUUUGGUCGUAGACCCGAAACCAGGUGAUCUACCCUUGGUCAGGUUGAAGUUCAGGUAACACUGAAUGGAGGACCGAACCGACUUACGUUGAAAAGUGAGCGGAUGAACUGAGGGUAGCGGAGAAAUUCCAAUCGAACCUGGAGAUAGCUGGUUCUCUCCGAAAUAGCUUUAGGGCUAGCCUCAAGUGAUGAUUAUUGGAGGUAGAGCACUGUUUGGACGAGGGGCCCCUCUCGGGUUACCGAAUUCAGACAAACUCCGAAUGCCAAUUAAUUUAACUUGGGAGUCAGAACAUGGGUGAUAAGGUCCGUGUUCGAAAGGGAAACAGCCCAGACCACCAGCUAAGGUCCCAAAAUAUAUGUUAAGUGGAAAAGGAUGUGGCGUUGCCCAGACAACUAGGAUGUUGGCUUAGAAGCAGCCAUCAUUUAAAGAGUGCGUAAUAGCUCACUAGUCGAGUGACACUGCGCCGAAAAUGUACCGGGGCUAAACAUAUUACCGAAGCUGUGGAUUGUCCUUUGGACAAUGGUAGGAGAGCGUUCUAAGGGCGUUGAAGCAUGAUCGUAAGGACAUGUGGAGCGCUUAGAAGUGAGAAUGCCGGUGUGAGUAGCGAAAGACGGGUGAGAAUCCCGUCCACCGAUUGACUAAGGUUUCCAGAGGAAGGCUCGUCCGCUCUGGGUUAGUCGGGUCCUAAGCUGAGGCCGACAGGCGUAGGCGAUGGAUAACAGGUUGAUAUUCCUGUACCACCUAUAAUCGUUUUAAUCGAUGGGGGGACGCAGUAGGAUAGGCGAAGCGUGCGAUUGGAUUGCACGUCUAAGCAGUAAGGCUGAGUAUUAGGCAAAUCCGGUACUCGUUAAGGCUGAGCUGUGAUGGGGAGAAGACAUUGUGUCUUCGAGUCGUUGAUUUCACACUGCCGAGAAAAGCCUCUAGAUAGAAAAUAGGUGCCCGUACCGCAAACCGACACAGGUAGUCAAGAUGAGAAUUCUAAGGUGAGCGAGCGAACUCUCGUUAAGGAACUCGGCAAAAUGACCCCGUAACUUCGGGAGAAGGGGUGCUCUUUAGGGUUAACGCCCAGAAGAGCCGCAGUGAAUAGGCCCAAGCGACUGUUUAUCAAAAACACAGGUCUCUGCUAAACCGUAAGGUGAUGUAUAGGGGCUGACGCCUGCCCGGUGCUGGAAGGUUAAGAGGAGUGGUUAGCUUCUGCGAAGCUACGAAUCGAAGCCCCAGUAAACGGCGGCCGUAACUAUAACGGUCCUAAGGUAGCGAAAUUCCUUGUCGGGUAAGUUCCGACCCGCACGAAAGGCGUAACGAUUUGGGCACUGUCUCAACGAGAGACUCGGUGAAAUCAUAGUACCUGUGAAGAUGCAGGUUACCCGCGACAGGACGGAAAGACCCCGUGGAGCUUUACUGUAGCCUGAUAUUGAAAUUCGGCACAGCUUGUACAGGAUAGGUAGGAGCCUUUGAAACGUGAGCGCUAGCUUACGUGGAGGCGCUGGUGGGAUACUACCCUAGCUGUGUUGGCUUUCUAACCCGCACCACUUAUCGUGGUGGGAGACAGUGUCAGGCGGGCAGUUUGACUGGGGCGGUCGCCUCCUAAAAGGUAACGGAGGCGCUCAAAGGUUCCCUCAGAAUGGUUGGAAAUCAUUCAUAGAGUGUAAAGGCAUAAGGGAGCUUGACUGCGAGACCUACAAGUCGAGCAGGGUCGAAAGACGGACUUAGUGAUCCGGUGGUUCCGCAUGGAAGGGCCAUCGCUCAACGGAUAAAAGCUACCCCGGGGAUAACAGGCUUAUCUCCCCCAAGAGUUCACAUCGACGGGGAGGUUUGGCACCUCGAUGUCGGCUCAUCGCAUCCUGGGGCUGUAGUCGGUCCCAAGGGUUGGGCUGUUCGCCCAUUAAAGCGGUACGCGAGCUGGGUUCAGAACGUCGUGAGACAGUUCGGUCCCUAUCCGUCGUGGGCGUAGGAAAUUUGAGAGGAGCUGUCCUUAGUACGAGAGGACCGGGAUGGACAUACCUCUGGUGUACCAGUUGUCGUGCCAACGGCAUAGCUGGGUAGCUAUGUGUGGACGGGAUAAGUGCUGAAAGCAUCUAAGCAUGAAGCCCCCCUCAAGAUGAGAUUUCCCAACUUCGGUUAUAAGAUCCCUCAAAGAUGAUGAGGUUAAUAGGUUCGAGGUGGAAGCAUGGUGACAUGUGGAGCUGACGAAUACUAAUCGAUCGAAGACUUAAUCAA
rnacentral:rRNA from 1 species